UGACCACAAAUGUGUUCUGUACAAUACAUUUUAUUGUAUUUACAUUAGUACUGUACGUUGUUUAUUGCAGCGACUCACCUUGUUCUGCAUUGUAUAUCACCUCCUUGAUGUGAUUAAAAAUUCAAUGAGCAAUUGUAAGUAUCAAUGACAUCAUAGACUUACUUUGACUACAAAAGCCCAGGUGAUAAUCACGUGUUUGUUGGAUCAAUAUCUCAUGCAAUAAUGUUUCCUCCUCUGUCAUUAUUUUCCUUCUUAUUGAACAUUAUUUCAUUUUAAUCAGUAUCUUCUUCUUUCAUCAGGAGAAUGAAUCCGCUGCCUGUUCCUUGUACCAAAAACAUCCAGGACUGUUUAAACCCAUAUACACUUCAAAACAUCCACAACAUCUUCAGAGGAGAACAUCACAGAGAACUGCAGAAGAGCUGUGCAGACACUUGGCAGUGGUUGGAGUGGUUAUCCGGUCGUGUGUCGUCCUGAGGAUUCACCCCGAGUUUCCUGACCCGACUGGACAGUAUGUUGGCUUCCACCCGCCCCUUGACUACACCUGGACACGUGUCGAGCCACCCCUCCUUCUUUUUUCGAGUC